AUUGAACGCUGGCGGCAGGCCUAACACAUGCAAGUCGAACGGUAACAGGAAGCAGCUUGCUGCUUUGCUGACGUGGCGGACGGGUGAGUAAUGUCUGGGAAACUGCCNGAUGGAGGGGGAUAACUACUGGAAACGGUAGCUAAUACCGCAUAACGUCGCAAGACCAAAGAGGGGGACCUUAGGGCCUCUUGCCAUCGGAUGUGCCCAGAUGGGAUUAGCUAGUAGGUGGGGUAACGGCUCACCUAGGCGACGAUCCCUAGCUGGUCUGAGAGGAUGACCAGCCACACUGGAACUGAGACACGGUCCAGACUCCUACGGGAGGCAGCAGUGGGGAAUAUUGCACAAUGGGCGCAAGCCUGAUGCAGCCAUGCCGCGUGUAUGAAGAAGGCCUUCGGGUUGUAAAGUACUUUCAGCGGGGAGGAAGGGAGUAAAGUUAAUACCUUUGCUCAUUGACGUUACCCGCAGAAGAAGCACCGGCUAACUCCGUACGCCAGCAGCCGCGGUAAUACGGAGGGUGCAAGCGUUAAUCGGAAUUACUGGGCGUAAAGCGCACGCAGGCGGUUUGUUAAGUCAGAUGUGAAAUCCCCGGGCUCAACCUGGGAACUGCAUCUGAUACUGGCAAGCUUGAGUCUCGUAGAGGGGGGNAGAAUUCCAGGUGUAGCGGUGAAAUGCGUAGAGAUCUGGAGGAAUACCGGUGGCGAAGGCGGCCCCCUGGACGAAGACUGACGCUCAGGUGCGAAAGCGUGGGGAGCAAACAGGCCGUUACCCUGGUAGUCCACGCCGUAAACGAUGUCGACUUGGAGGUUGUGCCCUUGAGGCGUGGCUUCCGGAGCUAACGCGUUAAGUCGACCGCCUGGGGAGUACGGCCGCAAGGUUAAAACUCAAAUGAAUUGACGGGGGCCCGCACAAGCGGUGGAGCAUGUGGUUUAAUUCGAUGCAACGCGAAGAACCUUACCUGGUCUUGACAUCCACGGAAGUUUUCAGAGAUGAGAAUGUGCCUUCGGGAACCGUGAGACAGGUGCUGCAUGGCUGUCGUCAGCUCGUGUUGUGAAAUGUUGGGUUAAGUCCCGCAACGAGCGCAACCCUUAUCCUUUGUUGCCAGCGGUCCGGCCGGGAACUCAAAGGAGACUGCCAGUGAUAAACUGGAGGAAGGUGGGGAUGACGUCAAGUCAUCAUGCGCCCUUACGACCAGGGCUACACACGUGCUACAAUGGCGCAUACAAAGAGAAGCGACCUCGCGAGAGCAAGCGNACCUCAUAAAGUGCGUCGUAGUCCGGAUUGGAGUCUGCAACUCGACUCCAUGAAGUCGGAAUUAGUAAUCGUGGAUCAAGAAUGCCACGGUGAAUACGUUCCCGGGCCUUGUACACACCGCCCGUCACACCAUGGGAGUGGGUUGCAAAAGAAGUAGGUAGCUUAACCUUCGGGAGGGCGCUUACCACUUUGUGAUUCAUGACUGGGGUGAAG
rnacentral:rRNA from 1 species